GAUAAUCAUUAAAACUCAGGCCCAGACAAGUUAGAGAGCAGGCCAGGAAAACAGGAGCAGGAAGAAUUGGGAGCAGAUUUUAUAAAGAAUGGAGGACCAAAAGCAAAGCUGCCCUCCAUCCCGGAAGAGUCCGAAGGACCUUCUACAAAAUGAGCAAGAAAAACAAAACCAGAGGAAGGGGUGAGAGAAAAAAAAGCAAAUGGGGAACUGAAAAAUUAUUGAAGGGCUGGUGAGGUGACUCAGUGGAAAAAGGAGCUUGCUGUCAAGUCUGAAGACCAGAGUUCAAUUCCCAGGACCCACCUGGUGGAAGUUGUCUUCAAACUGCCCCAUGAAUAUUCAAACACAAGCAUGUAUAUUCAUACAAAAUAAAUAAAUAUAAUUUAAAAAAAUAAA
rnacentral:lncRNA from 1 species